GAUGAACGCUGGCGGCGUGCCUAAUACAUGCAAGUCGAGCGAACGGACGAGAAGCUUGCUUCUCUGAUGUUAGCGGCGGACGGGUGAGUAACACGUGGAUAACCUACAUAUAAGACUGGGAUAACUUCGGGAAACCGGAGCUAAUACCGGAUAAUAUUUUGAACCGCAUGGUUCAAAAGUGAAAGACGGUCUUGCUGUCACUUAUAGAUGGAACCGCGCUGCAUUAGCUAGUUGGUAAGGUAACGGCUUACCAAGGCAACGAUGCAUAGCCGACCUGAGACGGGGUUCGUCCCCGCUGGGACUGAGUCACGGUCCACACUCCUACGGGAGGCAGCAGUAGGGAAUCUUCCGCAAUGGGCGAAAGCCUGACGGCGCAACGCCGCGUGGGUGAUGAAGGUCUUCGGAUCUUAAGACACUGUUAUUAGGGAAGAACAUAUGUGUAAGUAACUGUGCACAUCUUGACGGUACCUAGUGAGAAAGCCACGGCUAACUACGUG
rnacentral:rRNA from 1 species